rnacentral:rRNA from 1 species
UUUAAAUUUAAAUAUUGAUAAACUCUAGAUAAGUAGUAGAUAGGUACUUAAAAAUUAAAAAAUUUGGCGGUGAUUUAAUCUUUUCAGAGGAACUUGUUUUUUAAUCGAUAAACCACGUUUAAUCUUACUUAUUUUGGUAUAAACAGUAUGUAUACCAUCAUUAACAGGUAAUUUUAAAAGAAAAAAUUACUAAAAAUAAUUAAUUAAAAAAAUUAGAUCAUGGUGCAGCUUAUAAAUAAGGUAAAAUGAGUUACAAUAAAGUUUUUUAUAUGAAUUAGUAAAGGAAGAGUUUACUAUAAAGGUGGAUUUGAUUGUAAAUGUGGAUUAAUAAGCUUAUUUGAUAUUGGUGCUAAAUCAUGU